GACGUAGGGCGCGAGCGUUGUCCGGAUUUAUUGGGCGUAAAGAGCUCGUAGGCGGUUUGUCGCGUCUGCUGUGAAAACCUAAGGCUCAACCUUGGGCUUGCAGUGGGUACGGGCAGACUAGAGUGCGGUAGGGGUGACUGGAAUUCCUGGUGUAGCGGUGGAAUGCGCAGAUAUCAGGAGGAACACCCGUGGCGAAGGCGGCUCUCUGGAACGCAACUGACGCUGAGACGCGAAAGCGUGGGGAGCAAACAGG
rnacentral:rRNA from 1 species